AAUUCCUUCCCCCUGUGACGCAGUUUCCAGUCCAUCUGAGGGUGGCUGUUCCAGGGGGGAAGUGACGUCACGCACGUUGGAAUUAACUACUUCGCCAAGAUAAUCGAAUGCACCAGAAACACUUCCAAAGGUAAAGUACCACGCAAGAUGGAAUAUUUUCUCCUGACGACGUCCCCUGGCUGAAUUUUGCUGAUACAUCCACAAUUUUCAGUAACGUAUGACACUACCCCUUCUUCUGCAUACCUUAAAUGUAAAUGAGCCAGGGUCUCCUGGAGUUACACCAGUCAAAGAUCUGACAGCAUUACGGUGAAUGUAGCUGGAGCAUGUAACACUUCAAGCAAGUAUAUUAAAGGGUCUGUAAAUGAAGUCUUCAAAACCAGAACUGAUAACCUCAGCUCUAAAUCCACAACUUUGUAUAAAACAUAAACAUGGUCUCUCUGAGUAUCAAAUGAGGCAAGCAUUUAAGAUUACAGUCCACUUAUCAAAUAAUCUGCAUGUGCAUGAUUUUUACGCAUUGAAUUGACAUGUUAAUUCCUGCCUCAGAGUCAGCGAGAGCUCCUGGAAUGAAGUGAGAACGUUUCGCGUUCUUGGUGAUUUGUAAGGGGCAUAGAAUAAGGGUCAGGAGAAAAGGGACUGGCAAGCCAGUGUAUAACUCUGUCUUUUCUGCAUUGUCCCUGAAGCUGCCUUCUGAUAUUAUUUUCCAUGACCCUCAUCCUGAGACUCAUGUAUAGAGCUGAUGCAUGAUUCCAUGGCGACCAAAUCAAACAGAGGCUGCUCAGCCUGGAAUCAAACCCCUGGUGUCAGCAUGUCCAUUGGUUCCAGACUUGAGGCAGAGUCACUGACUGCUAUGGGUUCCCACCCCACUUUAGUAAAAAAAGGCAAAUUUGAGCCUCUGAAAAUGGAGGGGCUUUGUGCAAAUGACUGUAAUUCCUCAAAGCUUAAUGCAAUACCUUUGUUAAGCCCUUUAAUUUAAAGCUGAAGGUCUACAUUUCCAUAACAUUUUUGAUUGUUUCAUUUGAAAUCCACCGUGGGGGUGUGCAGAAGUAAAAUUACAAAAGUGUGUCACUGUCCAAACACUGAGGAACCUAACUGUAGCUCCACAGUGAUAGGAAACAGUAAGUCUUAGCUUACCCCACUGGGUGGCACCACUACAGCACAAUACUGCAAGCUACACUGGGCCCCUGCUGGAUCCAUCUGUCCUGUACAGCUUCAGCACCCCGACAGACCAAAUGUCAAUCAGAAGUGAUACUCUGAGCUGCUUGUGUUUCCCAAAGACACCCUGCAGUUCAAAUGUUUUUUUUUUGUGUUGAACCAUAUAUUCCUGUUCAAAGACCACAGACCUCACCAGUCGUGUGGAAUGUCACCUUGAAAUGGGAAUUAAUUGCAAAGAAUGUUUUGCAAACAAGUUAUCUGUUUUUCCCCUGAUUCUGCAGUUUUUUAUAACUACUUCAGCAACCUAGAACCUUUUUUUACUAUCAGUUUACUUCAGAAAACCAGUUCGUGAUUUUAACUGUGAAACCAUGGAAGGCAGAGAUCGAGGUGCCUGAACGAAUCUUUUUUUUUUUUUCAUAGAUCGACGCAGUGUUGAUAAUAUUGGAAACAAAUUAGACAUUAUGGAAUGUUAUUUAGCACUGUAUAACGUAGAAUACAAGUAUUAUGAUAUUAUUAAAAGUAUGCCAGAUAUCCAUGAUGUAAUCAUUACAAUGUAAACAUUAUAAUGUACUCAACACAAUGUAAUCAACUGAGUAUGUAUUUGCACCUUUUGUUAGUCUGAGUUUCUGUUAGCUACUUUAUGUUAGUCCUGAAUCUAUGAAUAUUCACUUUUAUUAACGUAUAUUUUAUCACUAUAUUAAAGGACAAAUAUAUUAUCAACCUUUUAGUUAGACAAUGUGUAAAAGGCUGAAACUGCCUAGGUUUACUACUGAAGGAAGGGAUUCGCCUGAGUACACCAGACAUUCACGGCUGAGCAUUUUUCAAAAACCAAGUGGAGCUGCUCGCGCCACCAUUAUGUUCAGCCGAGAGACCAAACGGUAAAAGAAAUGAUGGACAAACUUAUCACCUAGGGGUGUGGAUUAAGGGAAAAAACAAUUAUUGUGAAUGGCUGAAGGAAUGAUGAUGCUUAAGUGACGAGAUAUUGUUAAAUGAUAAGAACUUGUAUAAAAAUUGGUGUAAAACAGUAUUGGACACACUUUUACGUGUCCAGCCUUGGUUGUAACUUCAUUGUUGCAAUAAAGACUGAAUUCUGGAUACUGCACAAGCGGACCUCCGACUUCUGAUUUGGCGGGGAAGGAGAAAAAACCACGACAACAUUAAAGCAGUAUCACUGCAGCCAUACAGUGGAUACGAAGUAUAAAGAAGAUGGAAAGAUAAAGAAGCAAGUAAUAUUUGAAUAAUACACAGCAUCACAGGUAGAAAUGACAGCGAUCGCCCAUUUUAUUCGGUGCGCUGAGAGCUGCGCAGCAUCAGGGACGGAGGUGAUAGUUCCUGCCUCGCCGGCUGCCCUCAACUGCGUCGCUCUUUCUGUACUGGCGCUUUUUUGUUAAAAUGGCACUUCUGCUAUGGCGGACGCGGCCGUCUCUUUCGCGAAGGACUUCUUGGCUGGCGGUGUGGCUGCUGCUGUCUCCAAAACUGCAGUGGCGCCUAUUGAUUAGUGAAGUUGCUGCUGCAGGUAACACGAGCAUCUCACGGAGGCGGGUGAUGCAGCGCUGCUGUUUGCGCAGUUAUCCAGCCGCACUGAAAUGCAUGGCAGAGCUGCGGACUUUCCGCUGCAGAGUUUUUGUAUUUACUUAUAUGUGUCGUUUGCAGUCGAAACCAUUUAACCUGUUUGGUUACUAUAACAACCGUGUCGGCAUUGUCAUGUGGUCGCCACAUUGAAAAAGUGGGCUUUGGCCCAGCUGUAUCCAACUGGCUUAUACAACUUCAAAGCCCCAAUAGACUAAAUGCCGAAGUAUAUCAGUAGUCUUACUCUGAGUUCAAAGUGAAUCGCUGUUUGUAUUUUCAAAAGCCAUCCUGAAUUGCAGAUCGCAGUAUCCGAGAUAGUUUUAAAAAAUAUCAGAUCCCCCUGUUUUCUGUUCAAAGACAAUGGGCUACCCUGUAUUGAACGUCACUUUGAACUUGUAAUAAAAU